AUAAUUUUUUUUUUGUAGCACCUCACAUUCCAAGGUAGCAGAGACAGGUUCAAAAAUUCUUUUCAGUUCAAACGGUUAAGACCGUGUAAGCCUCUUCUCAUUUGGUUGUGUUAUUUGUAUCACAGCUUUUAAAUGUGGUUUUAUUUUGUACUUUUUGCUACAAUACUGGAAAUUGUAUGUAAGCUUCUUAGAGAAGCACUGUCAAGUAUGGUUUGUUCCACAGUUUAGGUUUCUGUGAGGGGUGGGAAAUAAGAUUAGAUAUGUCUUCAUGAAUAACUAAACUGAAUUUAAUUUUGUUUAUUUUCUCUAGCACCCUUGGAAACAAACAUAUCACCAUUUUACUAGUUCAUGAGAACUAGAAAAUUACAUACGCUCAAAUGUGCAAUCAGUUAAGCACAUGCUAAAUUUUAAACAUAAAAGUAUUCUUACUGACUUCAGUAGGACGUCUCACCUAUCUAUUUGCAGAGUCAGAGACACAGAAUAAAAAAAAUGAUAACUUUAUUGGAAAAACGAUGAGACGUUAACUAGAAUUAAAAUGUGUUCAUUUUAAUAAACUGAGAUAUUACUAAAUCAGUGAGAAAUUUUAAAAAAAUAUAAUUUUUGUCCCUCUAACUAGUAUAUUGCAUUGUAAAAGUGAUGUUUGACAUUAGGAGUAUGGGUAACUGGGUAACUAUAGGCUUGUUAGGCUGAGAUCUGUCCGGGGCAAAAUAAAGAAAAAACAUUAGUAGGGGAGUGGAUUCAAUAGAUUAAUUAUAGUCCCAUCCUUUAAUUUAUGCUAGUCACUGUGGUUUUAUAGAAAAACAGACCUUGUUAAACAAACAUGAUUUCAUUCUUUGAGAUUACAAAUUUGGUUGAUAAAGGUAACUGAUCCGAUGAAGUGAGCUGUAGCUCACGAAAGCUUAUGCUCUAAUAAAUUUGUUAGUCUCUAAGGUGCCACAAGUACUCCUUUUCUUUUUGAUGAAACAAUAGUGAUUUUGUAGGAAGUCCUUGGAGGAGGAGAUCUAGGAAGCCUGGAACACAAGAGCGGGGGCGUUAACAUGUAGAGGACUGUAUGGGGAAAAAAGUCACAUGUGAGAGGGAGGAGGCAGAAGGAGUUAAUAGAGCUCAGAACAUGAAUGGGGAAGUAGUGAGAAAUAAGGAUAACUCAGAAUGAACAUCCUCAUGCAGAGCCUGAAUGUAAGGAUGAGAGGUUUAAACUUGAUUUGGUAUGAGCUGGUAAACAGCAGGGGGAUUUGAUCAAGUGGGAAUAUAACAAGCAUCAGAUAGGGAAGUUGAUUUUUAGCCUCAUGGUUAGUGUGUGUGGAUUAGAGAGGAGAGAGAGGAGGUUGCAGUAAUAUGAUAAAGAUAAAAACAUAGGCCAAUAUUUUUACAUUGGGGAUGGAGUGGUAGAUUUUUUUGAAAUGUUCAAGAGGCAGAUGUAACAAGAUUUGAUAAGAGGUAAAGAUGGAGGGAGAAGUUGAAGAUGAUGAGAGCUUGAGUGACUGAUGUGGGGUUGUCGACCUAGAAGAGAGUAAAGAGGCUUCUGGUUUUUGGCAUUGAAUUUGAAGAAAUAUCAUUAUUGAGGAGGAUCUGGGGUGUUAUCAGUCAAAAAGGUGGUAACUGCAGCCAUAAGAGCAGGUAAGCUCACCCAUGAGGCAAGUGUGGUGAGACAAAAGGAGAUGCUGUAAAUAGGCUGUGGAGGCACCAAACAGAAAGGGAAAAUCAGAGUAGCUACUGAAGGCAUGUUGGCCAUGCAAGAGAAAACAGAGUGCCAAGUCAUGAGAGCACUUGAAGGAGAGCUUCUCAAAGUGAUGGGGGUUAUAAAUAUUUGUUUAAGCUAUUAAAAUAGUUUAAGAAGGAACUGCAAGGAGCAUAGAUCUUGGGUGUGUUCCUCCUUACCUCUGGCAUUCAGUCAGAAGAAAAUUUUAUGACUGUUCCUCCUUUGUCCCAAAAGUCAGCUCCUCAGAUGCUUCCUGCCUUUGGCUGAGAUGCACCUUCUCGCCUAUUUUUCUUGCAUCUUGGCCUAAAUCUAAAUAACUGGAGAAGAUCACUGGAAGAAAAGGCACAUGUACCCUGAUUGCAACUCACCACCACUGACUGCCCUUUUUUUGUAGGGCCUGUUUGUACCUUGUGCUCCAAGUCAUUGCAGAUCUAGCUCAAAUGCAGGCUCUGCUUCAAGUUGAUGGCAACAUGUUAUCUUGGUAUGCUCUAGGGCCAGUACCUAUCCUGUAUCCCCUGUUCAGAUAGUGCUUGAGCAUACUGCAGACAGGAGGAAAAUGACAACUUACAAGAGUUCUUGAGGAAGUAGGAUGCAAAGGAGGUGGGUGGCCCUGGUUUCUAUUUCAGAACACUCACUUAUCACAGAAGGGAGAUUUUCUGCCUACAGGGCAGGUGACUGAAUAAGGUUUAUGCCACCUGCCUACUUUCCUCUUGAAAGGAUCCAUGUCCUUCACCUGUAAGAAGCUUCUAGAAGUCCUUUAGGAUUCUCCCCUCACCCUCUUCAGCUUGGUUGGUGUCAUCCACUCAGGAGCCACACACAUCCUUUGACUUAAAGCAGGAAAUAACUGAAGAUGCUGAAGUGGUUUGGAUCCAGAUGAAGUGUGCUUGCCUACCAUUUUGUCAUCUGAAUUCCUGUUUGGUGUCUUGAAUAAGUUGGGUCUUCAGGACCACUUGAAGGACAAAAAAAAAUUGCAGGAAGACUUGACACUGCUUAUCUUCUACAUGGGUGAGGAAGGGAAGAAAAAUUAAGAGAAAGUUCCUCUUCCACACCCCUCUGUGCAAAUGGUAGAAACGGACUGCCACUUCUGAUGCACACUUGGUUAUGCCCUAGAAAUUGUAGAAGCUUUACAGUGGGAUUUGUACUUUAAGGAUACCUGGUUAGCAGACCCUAAGGAUGGCUGCUUCAUUUCACUGCAUUGUGAGUGAGAGUAGUGUCGCUCUCAAGGAUCUUUCAGACAGAAAAAUGGAUGGAGCAGUUAGGAAAAUCUUUGGUUUAGAUGGAGCUCAAAUUGCAUCAGCAAGCAUCUUUCAUUUCUAUAGCCACUAUGACAGGAUUUUGGACUUUCAAGCUGGCAAAUAAAGUCAGCAGGAGUUUAAUGUAAAUCGGUUGGGAAAAAUCGGUCUAAAUACAGUUUGCUGCCUCCACAGACAUGUUGGCAUAAGUACACACAGCUUUGAUAGUCAGCAUGAAAUACCCCAAAUGCAUCAAGAGUAAUGCCCUAUUGAAGGAAGCAGUCUAUCUCUUAUGAUGUGUGAAUGUUCUGGUCUGACUGAUUGGGUCCAUCGGGGAAGUAGACACUACCCCGUGACACUGUCCCAUAGAUGAUCUCCAGACUUCCACAGCCAUCAGUUCACCUCUUUUUGUCUUGGGGCCAGUCACCAUCUGCAGCAGAUUCUGGUCACAAAAAGCAUGGACUCGGGAUGCUUUUUUGUUCAACUAGAAAGGAUUGGUGGUGCAAGCAUUUCCAUCUCCCUUUUCUGCUUCUUUUUCUUAAUAUAUAAAAUUAAUAUAAUUUUAUGGAAGCACUCGGAGGCCCUAGCAAAAUGUUGACCCUGUUGUGUUCUAUGCUGUACAAAUACAUAUUAAAAAACAGUAUUGGUCUUGAAGAGUUUGCAGUAUAAUCUUAGCUAACUUUUAUUAAAAUGAUCUGAAUUAUGGAACCCACAGUCAUACAGUCUGACUUACAAUGAUGUCAUUGAGUGCUAGCUUACUGCCUUUUCCUUACAGCAAGUUUGCAAUCACAUCACCUAGAUCAAGGGUAAAUACUACCUUUUCAAUAUGAGUAUGUGUUUUGAAAUGAAGGCAGAAAUGAGUUUUGCGUGUAGGGUAGGCUUUUCAGUUGUAGUUAUUCAUUCAGGUUUCUAGAUAUUGAUAAUCCCAACAAACAGAUUUUGGACCUGAAAACCACAGUGCGUUUGUCAGUUGAAAUGAUCAAAUAACAAGCACAUUGGCAACAUACAGGAAAGAGAUGCAGUAGGUAAAAACCACAGAAGAGCUUCAGUUGUUUGUUCUCUUAAAAAUUGAAGUGUAGGCCUUUCUGCUUUUAAAAAGUGUUGCUGGUACUGACCUGUUCAUAAGCUUGAGAAAUGCAACCAAUUCAUAUUCCCAGCAUGUCCCAGAAUUGUUCAAACACAAUAUCAAAGUGAGCAGUGAUUAGAACUAGUGAAGAAACAGUUUAGUCAGAAAGUGCUGAUUUGUCAAACCCAAAAUGUUUAAAGAAAACUGUUUGGGUUUGACAGAUUUUCUCUGUUUCCAUAUUGAAAGCUGUGAAUGUCCAAUUUUUCAGUAAUAACAUACCUAUCUUUCAGGAAACAGCAUAUUUAAAUGUUGUUGAAACUAUAUUUGGAUCAAGCAUGCUUGCUGGAUGAGCCUUUUUCUUCUUAACAGGAAUUUUUACAAUGUGGAAUGGCAGUUAGGUAGUGGCAUGAUUCAGCCAGCCAUGCCCUACAGAGAGGGUACUGGCACUGUAUCUCUGGUGGCAGCACAGGACUCUGUUCAGACAUUCCAUGAAGAGUUUCAGCAACAGUGGCGCUAUAUGUUUGCUGUGUCAUAUUACUUAUUAGCCUUGGCUUGGAAUAUGAAAUAGGGCCUUUAUUAAAGGAUUUACCAGUUACCUGUUCUUAGAGAAACUGAAAUAAAACUGCCCCCUUAAAUGCAAUUCCUUAUCCUCAGGAACAGGGACCAAGUUCCCAAUACACAGUCUCUGCUUUUAUCAGGGCCCAGGCAGACACUCACCAUAGUUUCCAGAGGCAGGGGAAAUUACUUCCAAGUAGUCUCUGACUGGCUUCAUUCUUCAGUAAAGUCCACUUUCUCUGAGCCAUCAUGAUGUUGGGCUGUGUAGCUUCUCCCCAGAAGUUUCAGGUUGUCCCUGUUGGUUCCAGGCUUUCCUUUAUCAAAUCCUUCCUUGGACAUGAUGAUGGGAGGUUACAUUUCUCAGCCUAGUACUAUUUCCUCUUUAUAUCCUGCUCCGUAAUAAGCUCCUGCUAAAGCUUUCUGCCUCUGUGAUUGGCAACUGGCAGUUUCUUUAGACCAAGGCAGGUACUCUUCCCACUUCGAGGAAGUCCUUCCUUGCUUGAUUGAGUGUGGGGUCUGUACAGAAAGAGCAUCAGUUGGUGGAGAUGGGCACGAGUAUUCUAGAUCUCUGAUGACAAAAUCACAGGAGAUGAAUAAUCCUUUCCAGUGUCUUUAACACACAACUCUCCAGUAAAUUUUAUUUUCCCAGUAAACCUUUUGGAAUACUCUAAAGUUACUAGCCCCAAUCUCAGACAAUUUGGAAUGGCUUUACUCUUUGCUGCCACUAGAUAGUCAUACCCAGCCCUCGUAUAUACUGCCUUAUCCAUGAGUAUGUUUAGUUUCUGUCUCAGUAGGACAGUCCUGCUUAUAACAGUAUUGUUUUUCUGAGGUUAGAAGAUUGGUGAGGCUGGAAGUGAUCACUAGACCCAGCUUACUACUUGACUAUAAAUAAAGCUGAUCUUGUGAGGACUGAGUGGCAGUAAUAAGUAACCAGGAAUCUUGUUUGAGAGAAUUAAAUGUUAUCUUGAGUUACUGCCAAAAUGGAUGUUCUUUAAGCCCUCUAAAGAAAGAACCAGUAGAAGUUGUUCCUUAUAUACACUGCUUAUGCUAGCUGUCAGUGCUGUUAGCGUUUGCUUCACUUUCCAUGGAGCAAGACAUCAGCCUUU